rnacentral:lncRNA from 12 species
GGUUGGAAGGAAAGACAUUUGGAGAAGCAUAGAAGAAGUGAGCUGGCAAGAGCCUGGGCCCGAGGUCAAAUCUCAGCCCUUCUGCUUGCAGCAUUUGUGACUUUGGGGAACUGCCUAACCCACCUGAACCUCAGUUUCCUCAUCUGUAAAAUAAGGACUGCUAAUAUUUGCACUCUCUGCCUUGCAGGGUUGUGUCCACCGCUGCCUAUAACGGAAGUGCGUGAAUUGUCCUCAGCUUCCUCAUCUGUAAAAUGGGGUUACGAAGCCUCCUGCAGAGGGUUGUGGGACCCGGGUUCCACGCGUUCUUAGAAGUUCUGCGCCCCAUUGCAGUGCCGGGCAUCCAGUAGGAGCUCAAUCAAGGGGACCUCACGGUGUACACAGAAGCUUCAGCAUCUCCCUUGGGUUUGUCUGGAUCAGGGAAAAGGGUGAAGAGUGUCCUGCACUUGGGUCAUCACAGGUGAGUUGAAUUUGCUGGCGCCCCUCAGUGCUGAGUCUCCGGGGGUGGGGGGUCCCCAGGUCCAUCCCUCGUUGACGCCUCCACACCAGGGCGGCGCUUGCAGCAGGCUCACUGCAGCAGGACUCCUCCUGCUCACACGUGCCAGUCUGAAGGGUCCACUCUUGGUGACGGAUUUUUCUUUACGUUGUCAGCUGCCUUUGUGGCUCCCCCACCCACCCUGAGACCCGAUCCUUCACGGCAUCCUGGGAGUGGCCAGAGCUCGUCUAGAACUUUGACUAAGAGGGA